GUGCCAGCAGCCGCGGUAAUACCGGCAGCCCGAGUGAUGACCGAUCUUAUUGGGCCUAAAGCGUCCGUAGCUGGCUACGCAAGUCCGUCGGGAAAUCCACUCGCCCAACGAGUGGGCGUCCGACGGAAACUGCAUAGCUUGGGACCGGAAGGCUCGAAGGGUACGUGCGGGGUAGGAGUGAAAUCCCAUAAUCCUGGACGGACCACCGGUGGCGAAAGCGCCUCGAGAGGACGGACCCGACAGUGAGGGACGAAAGCCAGGGUCUCGAACCGGAUUAGAUACCCGUGUAGUCC
rnacentral:rRNA from 1 species